UUUUAUUUCGAGAUACAUGUACCUGUCCUGCAUACAAAUAGUUAACAUGCUUUAUUUCAUUUGGAUUACGAAAAGAAAAAAUUCCAAAAGAAGUGUGAGACCAAAAACUGUGGUUCAUACAUCAGAUGGUUCCUAAAGGAUCUGUUAAAGGAUGGUAAGCGUUAGAUGGGCUCACCAUGAAAUCCUAGUUUUCUUACCUUCUGCCUGACUGUCAUAGUACUUGCAGUGGAUCCUGAUGCACUUUUAAAUUCCUGGGUGAUGGUCUUGAUAGAUGUCUGCCUAUUAAGCAUUACGACCCCCUUCAACUGUUGGCAGUCUCUGUCAGUGAACAGACGAGAUCGGCCAGGACGCUUUUGUGCGCUUGUGUUCCUUCACAUUUCCGCUUCAGUAUCACAUCGGGAACACUGGACCAAGGGAUAUUUAGGAGUGCGGAAAUCUCGCGUACAAGCGUAUGACCACAAAUGACACGCAAACUCCUGACGACUUUCGAAGUCCGUGAGUUUCGUGGAGCACUCCAUUCUGCUGUCUCAUGAUGUAGAAUGACUACUUGCGUCGCUGAUAUGGAGUACCUGGCAGAAAGUGACAGCACAAUACGCCUAAUAUGAAAAAUGUAUGCUUUGUGGGUGUCCAGAUGCUUUUGAUCAAAUAGUGUCAUUGUUGCAGUGGAACAUAGUCAAAUGAUUUUUGAAAGUCAGGUAAUAAUGCAUUUAUAUGACUGCCUUAGUCAUUUACUUUGACGCUGCGAUGUGAGAAAAUGUCAAUAGAAAUCAGCAUGACUGAUGUCUUUGAAAUCGAUGCAGGUUAACUUGGCAGUGGUUAUUCUUUUGGAGAUAUACAUUCAAUCAGUGUUAUUUAUAUUUGCUAUAUACCAGAUGUACUUUGCACAUUAGUGAUGUGAGUAACCUGCCCCAAAAAUAACUCUGAAGAAUCUUUUAAAUGAAUCUUUUAAAUGAAAGCAUAUCAUGAACAUAUGAAUCUGAGACAGUUUAUUGCCUUUCUGAUGUGUGUAAGUAGUAUGGUUGUAUCAAGAUACUGAUGUAUGGAAGGCUCGCUGCCUAAAGCUGUUGUUGCCUGUUCCAUUACAAGAUAGAUAGACUUUUAGUAAAUUCACGAGAAUUAUUCAAUUGCAAUAUUAAACGAGACUAAGGCAAGCUCUAUGAUUUCUAUCAACAUGCAUACCAAAAAAUUAAAGUAUUUGACGAAACAUAGACUUAAUUAGAUUCAUUUAGUUGAUUUAUACGCCAAAGUAAAAAAUUGUACACCCUUCUUCUAUUAUUUUGAUUAUCACCUCAAUAUCAUCAUUCUACGUGAUGUGUGUAACAUUUCAUUUGUAAAUACACUUAGCUGUAUUGUGUUCAUAGUUGACAAUCAGUCUCCUGUGUCAUGUGCGAUAUUUCCAAGAACUUUAGUUUUAUAAAGUAAAGUAGACACAGCAUUAUAAAAAAGACGCUGGAAUUCAUUUCCUUUCUUGAAUAUACUACCUAUCAUUUCUAACUGUAUUAUUGCGUCAGGACACAUUUCAGCAUUUCUUACUGUAAACAAAAUGGAACUUUGGUACAAACUUAGAUUAAGAACACUUUACUUUUAACAGUCAGUUCCCAAAAGUAUUGUAUGAUGUUGCCAGCACAAUACAACUUGCAAGGCAGGCAAAAGCUACCAUCUGGUAGUCUGUGGCAGUACUCCAUUUGACGAUUGAGAUUGCUGAUCACAUUUUUCGUUAUCUAUUUUUGCAAAGUGCAAUGUUGUUUCUAUCUCCAUGGCCAUUUUUAAUAUAUUAUUAGCAGAAUAGGGUUCCAUUCCUGUAGAGUACUUAAGUGUGAAAUGAUUUGUUCAGUUAUUGACUGGACUGCCUACACAGUUUCCUAAUUAAGUUUUAGAGUUUCUGCGAGUCGUAAUUGGGCAGACUGCCAGUUGCUCAGUGAGGACACUGUUGGCAGUGGUACCUGUCUGACCAGAAUUGUCGCAUGGCAUGUUGGCUGACAAUUUACCGAUUUGACGCCAGGCUGAGCGAAAUGAACUGAAGAUGGAAAGAAGGUAAAUACAGAGAAAGGAAUAAUUGGCUCUUGUACCCUAUACUAUGACAGGGAUAUCCAAUUUACCUGAUACAGCAGCAUCAUAUCCAUUCAGGAAAUCUGUGAUAAGAAUCUGUUCUACAGUUGUUUUUAAUUAAUACUUAUAUUAUGAUUUUAGAUAGUAGGCACAAACAAGAGUGUGAAUAUUGAUGCAAACGUUACUUUGCAAUGAAACCAUCUCUCCUGCAUACAUGUGAGUAAAUUCAGCUUCCCCAGUGAGAA